GACGAACGCUGGCGGCGUGCCUAAUACAUGCAAGUCGAACGCUUUUUCUUUCACCGGAGCUUGCUCCACCGAAAGGAAAAGAGUGGCGAACGGGUGAGUAACACGUGGGUAACCUGCCCAUCAGAAGGGGAUAACACUUGGAAACAGGUGCUAAUACCGUAUAAAACUAUUUUCCGCAUGGAAUAAAGUUGAAAGGCGCUUUUGCGUCACUGAUGGAUGGACCCGCGGUGCAUUAGCUAGUUGGUGAGGUAACGGCUCACCAAGGCAACGAUGCAUAGCCGACCUGAGAGGGUGAUCGGCCACACUGGGACUGAGACACGGCCCAGACUCCUACGGGAGGCAGCAGUAGGGAAUCUUCGGCAAUGGACGAAAGUCUGACCGAGCAACGCCGCGUGAGUGAAGAAGGUUUUCGGAUCGUAAAACUCUGUUGUUAGAGAAGAACAAGGAUGAGAGUAAAAUGUUCAUCCCUUGACGGUAUCUAACCAGAAAGCCACGGCUAACUACGUGCCAGCAGCCGCCGUAA
rnacentral:rRNA from 1 species